rnacentral:rRNA from 1 species
GCUUACGACAUACCAGCCUGGCUAUGCCCGAUCUCGUCUGAUCUCGGAAGCUAAGCAGGUUUGGGCCUGGUUAGUACUUGAUGGGAGACCGCCUGGGAAUACCAGGUGCUGUAAGCA